rnacentral:lncRNA from 1 species
UGCAAGGUGAGGGCGCAACUCUGCCGCUCCCCGCCGCCGUCCCAGGUGCCCUGGCCGGGCAGGGAGGGAGGGCGGAGGCCACAGUGUACAUGGCCAUCGCCGGCUACCCCUCUUGCCCCUUCCGAGCCUCCCACCUCAGCCUCCCGAGUAGCUGGGAUCACAGGCACGUGCCACCACACCCAGUUACUCUUUUUGUAUUUUUGAAAAUAGAGAGGGCUAUUUUCAUUGCCCAGGCUAGUCUU